rnacentral:rRNA from 1 species
UACAGAGGUCCCGAGCGUUGUUCGGAUUUAUUGGGCGUAAAGGGUGCGUAGGCGGCGGAGUAAGUUGGGUGUGAAAUCCCGGGGCUCAACCUCGGAAUGGCAUUCAAUACUGCUUCGCUAGAGUACUGGAGAGGAGGCUGGAAUUUACGGUGUAGCAGUGAAAUGCGUAGAUAUCGUAAGGAAGGCCGGUGGCGAAAGCGAGCCUCUGGACAGUUCCUGACGCUGAGGCACGGAGGUCAGGGGAGCAAACGGG